CCCGCACAAGCGGAGGAGCAUGUGGUUUAAUCGAUGAUACGCGAGGAACCUUACCUGGGCUCGAACGUAAGAUGACUGUAGGUGAAAGCUUACAUCUCUUCGGAGCAUUUUACGAGGUGCUGCAUGGUUGUCGUCAGCUCGUGCCGUGAGGUGUCGGGUUAAGUCCCAUAACGAGCGCAACCCUACCUUUAGUUGCCAUCAGGUAAUGCUGGGGACUCUAAAGGAACUGCCUACGCAAGUAGUGAGGAAGGCGGGGAUGACGUCAAAUCAGCACGGCCCUUACGUCCAGGGCUACACACGUGCUACAAUGGCCGAUACAGAGGGCAGCUACCUGGUGACAGGAUGCAAAUCUCCAAAGUCGGUCUCAGUUCGGAUCGGAGUCUGCAACCCGACUCCGUGAAGUUGGAUUCGCUAGUAAUCGCGCAUCAGCCAUGGCGCGGUGAAUACGUUCCCGGGCCUU
rnacentral:rRNA from 1 species